UGCUCCUCUGAGAGACGUAUACGUGUGCAGGAGUUGAUGUUUGUAGAGGCUCGCUUGCAUCGAGCAGUUAAGUCAGCAGCUUUCAAGGUGUUGAAAUCGUUUUAGCUUAAAAAGGUAUUAAAAUACAUCGUUUAGAAAUGUAUUCAUCGGCUGUGUACCUCGUACUACUGUCCUUGGCUUACUUGGUUGCUGGUGGCCCGCAAUUGUUACCA